UUUAUUGAUGGUUUGAAUUGCGAUUAAUUGCGAUUAAUUACGAUUAAUUAUUUUUUAAGCUGUAAUUAACUCGAUUAAAAAUUUUAAUCGUUUGACAGCCCUAAAUUUAAUGUUUAUACAAAGUUUUAAAAUGAGGCAAGAUCACAGCUGGAGACGCAGAUCAGGAAAGCGCACAGUUCAGCGUAGGAGAACUCUCAACUAAGCAAAAGAGCAAACAGAGAAUCUUGCUGGGAUCCAACAUGUACAGAAAUGGCAAAAUUCAAGUCAUGGCUGUACCACACAAAUCAAGACUAUGGACCAGGUCAGAUGUCAUGAUGUCAAAAAUGGCAUCCCAGACUGAUAAAUGGGGAGUGCUGCUGACGGCAACUGUUGGCCAUUGCGUUGACAGUGCCCAUCUCAACAGUGAACUGUGAGAGAGGUUUGUCUGCAAUGAACAGAGUGAAGACAGACUUGAGGAUUAGGGGGACCAUCUUGCAGCACGCCUCACUAAAAAUUGACCAUUUAUUGCUGAUUUCCCUUUUUAUUUAUUUAUUUUUUAGUCCAGUAAAAUCAAAUGUUCACAGGCAGGAUGCAAACUUUGCAAAGGUUAAGGUUCUUAGAAAAAAAUAAAUGUUGUGAAAAAAAAUCUUAUUUGUCAUGAUAUGAAACAAAUUCGCCACGGCACAUGAUGGGGUUGUCCGAAUCUAACGCGGCCCACCACCACCACCACCACAGCUUCAAAAAAUCCUAGGGGAAACACGGUAAUGUAAUUGAAAUGUUUGAAUAUGUCACCAGGCACCGGAAAAAACAGUGUAUUGAAUAGCUUGAAGAAAAAAAAAACAUCCAAAUAUAAUAAAACAAUACAUUUACUGUUCAGCGAGUAAUUAGCGUGUCUAUUGAAAUUCUUGUAGAAACAGAUAGGAGUUUAGACAGUGGGUGCUGCAUCAGAUAAUAGAUACUUAAAAGUUGUUUGUGUUUAGAGGACAAAUCCUUGUAGUGCGGUGCAAGUAGAAAAACAUUUCCCAUUUGUUCAAUCAGAGAUUCGACCUUGUGUACCCACCAC